UUGGAGGGCAAGUCUGGUGCCAGCAGCCGCGGUAAUUCCAGCUCCAAUAGCGUAUAUUAAAGUUGUUGCAGUUAAAAAGCUCGUAGUUGAAUUUCGGGGUUAGUAGGUUGGUCAUGCCACUGGUAUGUACUGGUCUCACUGAUUCCUCCUUCCUGAUGAGCCGUAAUGCCAUUAAUUUGGUGUUGCGAGGAAUCUGGACUGUUACUUUGAAAAAAUUAGAGUGUUUAAAGCAAGCUAACGCUUGAAUACAUUAGCAUGGAAUAAUGAAAUAGGACGUUCGAUCCUAUUUUGUUGGUUUCUAGGAUUGACGUAAUGAUUAAUAGGGAUAGUUGGGGGCAUUAGUAUUCAAUUGUCAGAGGUGAAAUUCUUGGAUUUAUUGAAGACUAACUACUGCGAAAGCAUUUGCCAAGGAUGUUUUCAUUAAUCAAGAACGAAAGUUAGGGGAUCGAAGACGAUCAGAUACCGUCGUAGUCUUGACCAUAAACUAUGCCGACUAGGGAUCGGAUGAUGUUAAUUUUUAAUGACUCAUUCGGCGCCUUACGGGAAACCAAAGUGUUUGGGUUC
rnacentral:rRNA from 1 species